rnacentral:rRNA from 1 species
AGAGCGAACGCUGGCGGCAGGCCUAAUACAUGCAAGUCGAACGGAUCCUUCGGGAUUAGUGGCGGACGGGUGAGUAACACGUGGGAACGUACCCUUUGGUUCGGAACAACUCAGGGAAACUUGAGCUAAUACCGAAUGUGCCCUUCGGGGAAAAGAUUUAUCGCCAUUGGAGCGGCCCGCGUCUGAUUAGCUAGUUGGUAGGGUAAAGGCCUACCAAGGCUACGAUCAGUAGCUGGUCUGAGAGGAUGAUCAGCCACACUGGGACUGAGACACGGCCCAGACUCCUACGGGAGGCAGCAGUAGGGAAUCUUGCGCAAUGGGCGAAAGCCUGACGCAGCCAUGCCGCGUGAAUGAUGAAGGUCUUAGGAUUGUAAAAUUCUUUCAGCGGGGACGAUAAUGACGGUACCCGCAGAAGAAGCCCCGGACUAACUUCGCGCCAGCAGCCGC